rnacentral:rRNA from 1 species
UACGGGGAGGGCAAGCGUUGUUCGGAAUUACUGGGCGUAAAGGGCUCGUAGGCGGCCAACUAAGUCAGACGUGAAAUCCCUCGGCUUAACCGGGGAACUGCGUCUGAUACUGGAUGGCUUGAGGUUGGGAGAGGGAUGCGGAAUUCCAGGUGUAGCGGUGAAAUGCGUAGAUAUCUGGAGGAACACCGGUGGCGAAGGCGGCAUCCUGGACCAAUUCUGACGCUGAGGAGCGAAAGCCAGGGGAGCAAACGGG